GUUACCUUGUUACGACUUCCUGAGCCCCGAUCAAACUCAUGGUUACCUUGUUACGACUUCCUGAGCCAUGAUCUAACUCUGGUUACCUUGUUACGACUUCCUGAGCCAUGAUCUAACUCUGGUUACCUUGUUACGACUUCAUCCUAGUCAUGAACCACACUGCGGUAACCGCCUCUCCGAAGGUUAGACUAGCCUUCUUCUGGUGCAACCCACUUCCAUGAUGUGACGGGCGGUGUGUACUAGGCCCGGGAAC
rnacentral:rRNA from 1 species